rnacentral:rRNA from 1 species
CAGCAGCCGCGGGAAUACGAAGGGUGCAAGCGUUAAUCGGAAUUAUUGGGCGUAAAGCGUGCGUAGGCGGUUUGUUAAGUCUGUUGUGAAAUCCCCGGGCUCAACCUGGGAAUGGCAAUGGAUACUGGCAAGCUAGAGUGUGUCAGAGGAUGGUGGAAUUCCCGGUGUAGCGGUGAAAUGCGUAGAGAUCGGGAGGAACAUCAGUGGCGAAGGCGGCCAUCUGGGACAACACUGACGCUGAGGCACGAAAGCGUGGGGAGCAAACAGGAUUAGAUACCCGAGUAGUCCCUGUCUCUUAUAC